UUUGCAAGAAAACUAGGAUGCCGAGGGGGGAAAUGGAUGCUCACCAGCUGACAGGAACCCUCUAUUUUCUGCACAGCACUGCUGUUUCCAGGGUUUGGUAUGUUUGGCCAAAACACAGAUUUGGCUCUGGAUGGAGAUGAAGGACCAGACACAGUUAGAUGAUUUAUAGUAGUACUUCGCUUCCUUUUUACACCUGAGCUUUACCUUUUUAGUAUCGGGGUUCCAACAAUCGCAACAGUGAUCACAACUGCAAGAACUGUGAUGACAUUUCUGAAAUGGAAAUGUCCUAUGCAAAGAAAGAGGGCAAACAUCCGAGAUUGUUGCACUUCUGACUCCUGCACCAGCAGAGGUGAAACCGGACACCUGGACCUGGUACAUGGUGUCGACUUUGAGCUCCUGCAGUUUGCAGCUGUUAAAGAUCUGUUCAGCCCUUGAGGCCCCUCUGCAGGCCCAGGUCAGCAGAUCCCUCCGCUCUGCAGGAAGUCCUCCAUUCAUCGUCACCAAGGACUGAUAACCUCUGGGACUCCAGAGCUGACAAAUUAUUUAGAUUUCCAAGAACUGAGAGGACACCACACACUGUGAGGAUCAAGCUACAACCCUUUCAUCAAAAUGAGUAGAAGAGGGAAGUUUCCAGGUUUAACCUUUUGAAAAAGAUGAAAAAAUAAAGUCAUUAAAACUGAGGAGGGACUGUAGUCCUGCAGAAGUCCUGGACCUGUGGUUUUGCGCAAUACUGCACCUUUGAGCAAACAUGUUACCCCUGCCAAAAUACUCAAAAACACACACCCAGUACUAUAUAAAAAACAAAUUUUGGACAUAGAGGACGACCCCUCCAAGAACUGAUGACAUCACAGCGAGAGAAACAUUCGAGAAAAAUCCACUGGGCCAAAAUCUCUUGUGGGCCUCAAAAAAAUCGGUUCAAAAACCACUAAUGAAACCAAAAUACACAUGUUGGAUGUUUCCACAGGAUGUUUUAAAAUUAUUAUGGGAUGCGGCCAUUCCAUAAUAUUUGGCUAAUUUCACAUUUAACUAUUAUUUUACUUUGUUUUACCUUCUAAGCAAGAAAGAUUAAGAAAAAGACCUUUUGAAAAACAAAAAAGGGAGUUACCGAAAUGACACAAGACAGUCAUUAUAAUAAAGAAAAUCAUUAAAUUAUUAAAAUAAUUAGAAUUAAAAACACAUAAAACCUCUUCGCACAACAUGGGUAAACAAAACUUUUGUCAGGGCGAUCUUCACGAAAUUCCCCAAGUCUCUAACCACAACCAAAGUUUGGUUGACCUUUGACCUCGACAAGAAGUUGCCAUUGCGAGGUUUUAAAAAAAGGUAAAAAAUAGAAUCCCGGCUACAAAUUUUGAUUUAUCGCCUCCUGACUCCUCAAACAUCCUUUGGAAGAUUUCAGAAAAAAUGUUGGAUUUAGAAGUCGGAGAUUUGGAACUGCAUUAGCAAUCCCUUGUUGCUUACAUAAUUUAACAGAAUAUUGUGAAGUUGUAAUACAAGCUGAAGGGUCUACACAGCAAUAUGACAUAGAAUGUGACAAGGAAUGUGGGUGUGGUUAACAAAAACCCUCCGUUGCCACGGAAAUCUAAGAAUUUACUUUUGCCGAUUUUUCUAAAAAUUUCAUAGACCUGUUUGUUACCUUCAGGCAAACAAAAAAUUAAAUAGUUGCUAUGGAGAUAAAACCAGCAGAAAAGCGGCACAAAUUGAAUUCGUGCAGCAUCGUAGUGAGGGGCGUGUAGCAGCCGCUCAGCCAAUGAGGUAAGAGGGCGCUCACCGCUUUAUUCUUCAUCGCAAUUUAAAUAUUUCUAUUUAGCAUAAAAACCAACACGUAUCCACCAAAUUUCUGAAUUAGUAUUUUAAGAUAAGAUUUUAUUAUUUAGCAGCAGAUUUAGGAUUUAAAAAAAGGGACGAUAGAGGGUAAAAUGUUGGAUAGUCACAAUUUUUAAUCUGUUUGAAUCUAAAUAAAGAUGCAUCUGACUUUGCU